AUACGAAGGGGGCUAGCGUUGCUCGGAAUUACUGGGCGUAAAGGGCGCGUAGGCGGAUCGUUAAGUCAGAGGUGAAAUCCCGGAGCUCAACUUCGGAACUGCCUUUGAUACUGGCGAUCUUGAGUAUGAGAGAGGUAUGUGGAACUCCGAGUGUAGAGGUGAAAUUCGUAGAUAUUCGGAAGAACACCAGUGGCGAAGGCGACAUACUGGCUCAUUACUGACGCUGAGGCAUGAAAGCGUGGGUAGC
rnacentral:rRNA from 1 species